rnacentral:snoRNA from 1 species
CUGGCCGAUGAUGAUCAAACAAAAACUUUCGUUCUACCGAGCAGGCAUAGCCUGUGUGGAAACAACUUGGAGACCUGAACUGAAGGCCAA